UGUGUUUAUGUUUAAAUGUGUAAAAAUUCGCAUGAUUUUCAAUUCUUUUCUGUUUAUUCCAAGUUUCGAGGUUGACUUAGUUAUCAACCAAAGUUCUGGAGUUAUUUUGACAAUUUGAAGACAAUCUUCCAAGAUAGCAAAAUGCCAAGCUUGCUUUGUUUACUUUGUGGUGGUGAUGAGACAAAUGUUCAAAAAUUGCAUAAUUUUCCCCGUAAUCUUACAAGAUCUAAGGAGUGGCAAGAAAUACUAGGAAUGGAAUUCACGGGUGAAUCUCUGCAUUCAUUCAAGAUCUGCAAUAAGCAUUUUUCACCAGAUGCAUAAUAUAUAUGGAUCUAAACAGAUUUAAGCUUCACAGAUCCGCAGUUCCUAUUCCUUGGCAAACCUCUGCAAGAACUAUUAAGACACAUGAAGUAAAUAUGGAAAUUCAUCUGUAGAAUCUGAAAAAGAAAUUAUGACUGAAGUGACUGUGGCAGCUUUGGAUGAUCCAAGCCCUAGCUCAAAAACCCCAGAUUUGGCCACACCGAGUAUCAAGGAAGAAAAUAUUCAGAAAUUUUUAUGCACUUUCAAUAAUGGACAGUACAUACACCACGAAAAGGGCAAUUAAUAAUAAUCAUUCAUAGAAGGGAGAACAAUCUGAGGAAGAUUGAAACCUUAUGUAGGGAAAAUCCCAAUAUGUAUUUAAAAGCUCUCACAAAUGUGUGUGAAACUAGUUUGGUAUGAAAAAUUGUGAAAUUAAUGAAGUUAGAAAAGAGAAAAGGCAGUGAAAAGAAAAAUAUAUAUAAUUUAACAUUGAAAAAUUUCAAAUUCAUUAAUUUCACAUUUUUUUUUCUCUAAGUUCCAUUCAUUUUGUAUUUCAUUUGUAAAAUAAAAUUUACCUAUUGUAUAUAUACCUAUACCUAUAUCUGUUAAUUACUGAAAUGUUUUUUACUAAAAUUGUGAUGGGACUUUUUUUAUGUUUGAAGUUGAAAUAUAGCUAUGAAUCUUA